GAGUUUGAUCUUGGCUCAGGAUGAACGCUGGCGGCGUGCUUAACACAUGCAAGUCGAACGGACUCAUAUUGAAACCUAGUGAUGUAUGAGUUAGUGGCGGACGGGUGAGUAACGCGUGGAGAACCUGCCGUAUACUGGGGAUAACACUUAGAAAUAGGUGCUAAUACCGCAUAAGCGCACAGCUUCGCAUGAAGCAGUGUGAAAAACUCCGGUGGUAUACGAUGGAUCCGCGUCUGAUUAGCUGGUUGGCGGGGUAAAGGCCCACCAAGGCGACGAUCAGUAGCCGGCCUGAGAGGGUGAACGGCCACAUUGGGGACUGAGACACGGCCCAAACUCCUACGGGAGGCAGCAGUGGGGAAUAUUGCACAAUGGGGGAAACCCUGAUGCAGCGACGCCGCGUGAGUGAAGAAGUAUUUCGGUAUGUAAAGCUCUAUCAGCAGGGAAGAAAUAGCGACCUUUGGGUCGCCAGACGGUACCUGAUUAAGAAGCCCCGGCUAACUACGUGCCAGCAG
rnacentral:rRNA from 1 species